GACGAACGCUGGCGGCGUGCUUAACACAUGCAAGUCGAACGGUGACCCAGGGCUUGCCCUGGUGAUCAGUGGCGAACGGGUGAGUAACACGUGGGCAACCUGCCCCUGACUUCGGGAUAACUCCUCGAAAGAGGAGCUAAUACCGGAUACGACCACUUCGGACAUCCGAUGGUGGUGGAAAGUUUUUCGGUCAGGGAUGGGCCCGCGGCCUAUCAGCUAGUUGGUGGGGUAAUGGCCUACCAAGGCGACGACGGGUAGCCGGCCUGAGAGGGCGACCGGCCACACUGGGACUGAGACACGGCCCAGACUCCUACGGGAGGCAGCAGUGGGGAAUAUUGCGCAAUGGGCGAAAGCCUGACGCAGCGACGCCGCGUGAGGGAUGAAGGCCUCGGGUUGUAACCUCCUUCAGCAGGGACGAAGCGAAAGUGACGGUACCUGCAGAAGAAGACACCGGCGUAACUACGUGCCAGCAGCCGCGGUAAU
rnacentral:rRNA from 1 species